rnacentral:rRNA from 1 species
CCUACGGGUGGCACCAGUGGGGAAUUUUGGACAAUGGGGGCAACCCUGAUCCAGCAAUGCCGCGUGAGUGAAGAAGGCCUUCGGGUUGUAAAGCUCUUUUGUCAGGGAAGAAACGGUGAGGGCUAAUAUCCUUUGCUAAUGACGGUACCUGAAGAAUAAGCACCGGCUAACUACGUGCCAGCAGCCGCGGUAAUACGUAGGGUGCAAGCGUUAAUCGGAAUUACUGGGCGUAAAGCGUGCGCAGGCGGUUAUGUAAGUCAGAUGUGAAAUCCCCGGGCUCAACCUGGGAAUGGCAUUUGAGACUGCAUGGCUAGAGUGUGUCAGAGGGGGGUAGAAUUCCACGUGUAGCAGUGAAAUGCGUAGAGAUGUGGAGGAAUACCGAUGGCGAAGGCAGCCCCCUGGGAUAACACUGACGCUCAUGCACGAAAGCGUGGGGAGCAAACAGGAUUAGAUACCCUAGUAGUC